AUAGAGAUGUUUGUUCUUAAUUCGAAGUCAAGAUGUUUUAAGUGCUAUUAGAGCGUCAUCUGCAGCUCCAUAUUAUCUUUGAUGAUCUCUCUUAUGAUAUUCAUCGGAGGCAAGAUGGUGCAAUAGUAGCAAACAACCCUACAGUCUUUGCUAUUAGAGAAGCACUUCUUCUGUGGCCUGACACAAAAAUUGACUGUCUUGUUUCACUUGGAUGUGGUUCUGUUCCAGCAAAGGUGCGAAAAGGGGGUUGGCGAUAUCUGGAUACCGGACAAGUCUU